rnacentral:rRNA from 1 species
CGCGUAGGCGGCGCGGUAAGUCACUUGUGAAAUCUCUGAGCUUAACUCAGAACGGCCAAGUGAUACUGCAGUGCUAGAGUGCAGAAAGGGCAAUCGGAAUUCUUGGUGUAGCGGUGAAAUGCGUAGAUAUCAAGAGGAACACCUGAGGCGAAGGCGGGUUGCUAGGCUGACACUGACGCUGAGGCGCGAAAGCCAGGGGAGCGAAACG